GACGAACGCUGGCGGCGUGCUUAACACAUGCAAGUCGAACGGAAAGGCCCUGCUUUUGUGGGGUGCUCGAGUGGCGAACGGGUGAGUAACACGUGAGUAACCUGCCCUUGACUUUGGGAUAACUUCAGGAAACUGGGGCUAAUACCGGAUAGGAGCUCCUGCUGCAUGGUGGGGGUUGGAAAGGUUCGGCGGUUGGGGAUGGACUCGCGGCUUAUCAGCUUGUUGGUGGGGUAGUGGCUUACCAAGGCUUUGACGGGUAGCCGGCCUGAGAGGGUGACCGGCGACAUUGGGACUGAGAUACGGCCCAGAGUCCUACGGGAGGCAGCAGUGGGGAAUAUUGAACAAUGGGGGGGAGCCUGAUGCAGAAACGCCGCGUGCGGGAUGACGGCCUUCGGGUUGUAAAACGCUUUCGCCUGUGACGAAGCGUGAGUGACGGUAAUGGGUAAAGAAGCACCGGCUAACUACGUG
rnacentral:rRNA from 1 species